CCUCCUCUCCCCCGACCUGAGGAGAGGCAGGGGCUGUGCCUGCGGCGGGGCAGGCCAGACC
rnacentral:miRNA from 1 species